AUUGAACGCUGGCGGCAGGCUUAACACAUGCAAGUCGAGCGGAGAGAGGUAGCUUGCUACUGAUCUUAGCGGCGGACGGGUGAGUAAUGCUUAGGAAUCUGCCUAUUAGUGGGGGACAACAUUUCGAAAGGAAUGCUAAUACCGCAUACGUCCUACGGGAGAAAGCAGGGGAUCUUCGGACCUUGCGCUAAUAGAUGAGCCUAAGUCGGAUUAGCUAGUUGGUGGGGUAAAGGCCUACCAAGGCGACGAUCUGUAGCGGGUCUGAGAGGAUGAUCCGCCACCCUGGGACUGAGACACGGCCCAGACGCCUACGGGAGGCAGCAGUGGGGAAUAUUGGACAAUGGGCGGAAGCCUGAUCCAGCCAUGCCUCGUGUGUGAAGAAGGCCUUAUGGUUGUAAAGCACUUUAAGCGAGGAGGAGGCUACUUUAGUUAAUACCUAGAGAUAGUGGACGUUACUCGCAGAAUAAGCACCGGCUAACUCUGUGCCAGCCGCCGCGGUAA
rnacentral:rRNA from 1 species